rnacentral:lncRNA from 1 species
GCUUUGUGUUUCUUGUUGUAUAUUGAAGUGGCAUACUGUCUGUGCACAAAAUAAAGCUGACUAUGUCUGUGUCCACGCAGUGAAGCCGGGUCAAUGUCCCAUACCAGAGAUGAUUCCACUGUGUGCUGAAAGCUGUUUCCAUGAUGGCCAGUGUCCUGCCACACAGAAAUGUUGCCCAACCACCGGUGGCUUUGCAUGCAGUGAACCACGUGGCCAGGGAAGCGGACAGGGCAGCGGUCAGGGAAGUGGACAGGGCCAGGGAAGUGGCCAGGGAAGCGGUUCUGGCCAGGGAAGCGGUCAAGGAAAUGGUUGGGGAUGUGGUCAAGGAAAUGGUCGGCAACGUG